AGUGAACGCUGGCGGCGUGCUUAACACAUGCAAGUCGAACGAGAACGGGUUAUAGCUUGCUAUAAUUGUCAGCUAAGUGGCGCACGGGUGAGUAAUGUAUAGGUAAUAUGCCUCUUACUAAGGGAUAACAAAUGGAAACGUUUGCUAAUACCUUAUACUCCUUAUUAACAGAAGUUAAUAAGGGAAAGAUUUAUUGGUAAGAGAUUAGCCUGUAUUGUAUCAGUUAGUUGGUGGGGUAAUGGCUUACCAAGACUAUGACACAUAACUGGUUUGAGAGGAUGAUCAGUCACACUGGAACUGAGACACGGUCCAGACUCCUACGGGAGGCAGCAGUGGGGAAUAUUGCACAAUGGACGAAAGUCUGAUGCAGCAACGCCGCGUGGAGGAUGACACAUUUCGGUGCGUAAACUCCUUUUGUAUGAGAAGAUAAUGACGGUAUUAUAUGAAUAAGCACCGGCUAACUCCGUGCCAGCAGCCGCCGUAA
rnacentral:rRNA from 1 species